rnacentral:rRNA from 1 species
GGGUUGUGAGGUUAAGCGACUAAGCGUACACGGUGGAUGCCCUGGCAGUCAGAGGCGAUGAAGGACGUGCUAAUCUGCGAUAAGCGUCGGUAAGGUGAUAUGAACCGUUAUAACCGGCGAUUUCCGAAUGGGGAAACCCAGUGUGUUUCGACACACUAUCAUUAACUGAAUCCAUAGGUUAAUGAGGCGAACCGGGGGAACUGAAACAUCUAAGUACCCCGAGGAAAAGAAAUCAACCGAGAUUCCCCCAGUAGCGGCGAGCGAACGGGGAGCAGCCCAGAGCCUGAAUCAGUAUGUGUGUUAGUGGAAGCGUCUGGAAAGGCGCGCGAUACAGGGUGACAGCCCCGUACACAAAAAUGCACAUGCUGUGAGCUCGAUGAGUAGGGCGGGACACGUGGUAUCCUGUCUGAAUAUGGGGGGACCAUCCUCCAAGGCUAAAUACUCCUGACUGACCGAUAGUGAACCAGUACCGUGAGGGAAAGGCGAAAAGAACCCCGGCGAGGGGAGUGAAAAAGAACCUGAAACCGUGUACGUACAAGCAGUGGGAGCACAGAGCAAUCUGUGUGACUGCGUACCUUUUGUAUAAUGGGUCAGCGACUUAUAUUCUGUAGCAAGGUUAACCGAAUAGGGGAGCCGAAGGGAAACCGAGUCUUAACUGGGCGUUAAGUUGCAGGGUAUAGACCCGAAACCCGGUGAUCUAGCCAUGGGCAGGUUGAAGGUUGGGUAACACUAACUGGAGGACCGAACCGACUAAUGUUGAAAAAUUAGCGGAUGACUUGUGGCUGGGGGUGAAAGGCCAAUCAAACCGGGAGAUAGCUGGUUCUCCCCGAAAGCUAUUUAGGUAGCGCCUCGUGAAUUCAUCUCCGGGGGUAGAGCACUGUUUCGGCAAGGGGGUCAUCCCGACUUACCAACCCGAUGCAAACUGCGAAUACCGGAGAAUGUUAUCACGGGAGACACACGGCGGGUGCUAACGUCCGUCGUGAAGAGGGAAACAACCCAGACCGCCAGCUAAGGUCCCAAAGUCAUGGUUAAGUGGGAAACGAUGUGGGAAGGCCCAGACAGCCAGGAUGUUGGCUUAGAAGCAGCCAUCAUUUAAAGAAAGCGUAAUAGCUCACUGGUCGAGUCGGCCUGCGCGGAAGAUGUAACGGGGCUAAACCAUGCACCGAAGCUGCGGCAGCGACGCUUAUGCGUUGUUGGGUAGGGGAGCGUUCUGUAAGCCUGCGAAGGUGUGCUGUGAGGCAUGCUGGAGGUAUCAGAAGUGCGAAUGCUGACAUAAGUAACGAUAAAGCGGGUGAAAAGCCCGCUCGCCGGAAGACCAAGGGUUCCUGUCCAACGUUAAUCGGGGCAGGGUGAGUCGACCCCUAAGGCGAGGCCGAAAGGCGUAGUCGAUGGGAAACAGGUUAAUAUUCCUGUACUUGGUGUUACUGCGAAGGGGGGACGGAGAAGGCUAUGUUGGCCGGGCGACGGUUGUCCCGGUUUAAGCGUGUAGGCUGGUUUUCCAGGCAAAUCCGGAAAAUCAAGGCUGAGGCGUGAUGACGAGGCACUACGGUGCUGAAGCAACAAAUGCCCUGCUUCCAGGAAAAGCCUCUAAGCAUCAGGUAACAUCAAAUCGUACCCCAAACCGACACAGGUGGUCAGGUAGAGAAUACCAAGGCGCUUGAGAGAACUCGGGUGAAGGAACUAGGCAAAAUGGUGCCGUAACUUCGGGAGAAGGCACGCUGAUAUGUAGGUGAAGUCCCUCGCGGAUGGAGCUGAAAUCAGUCGAAGAUACCAGCUGGCUGCAACUGUUUAUUAAAAACACAGCACUGUGCAAACACGAAAGUGGACGUAUACGGUGUGACGCCUGCCCGGUGCCGGAAGGUUAAUUGAUGGGGUUAGCGCAAGCGAAGCUCUUGAUCGAAGCCCCGGUAAACGGCGGCCGUAACUAUAACGGUCCUAAGGUAGCGAAAUUCCUUGUCGGGUAAGUUCCGACCUGCACGAAUGGCGUAAUGAUGGCCAGGCUGUCUCCACCCGAGACUCAGUGAAAUUGAACUCGCUGUGAAGAUGCAGUGUACCCGCGGCAAGACGGAAAGACCCCGUGAACCUUUACUAUAGCUUGACACUGAACAUUGAGCCUUGAUGUGUAGGAUAGGUGGGAGGCUUUGAAGUGUGGACGCCAGUCUGCAUGGAGCCGACCUUGAAAUACCACCCUUUAAUGUUUGAUGUUCUAACGUUGACCCGUAAUCCGGGUUGCGGACAGUGUCUGGUGGGUAGUUUGACUGGGGCGGUCUCCUCCUAAAGAGUAACGGAGGAGCACGAAGGUUGGCUAAUCCUGGUCGGACAUCAGGAGGUUAGUGCAAUGGCAUAAGCCAGCUUGACUGCGAGCGUGACGGCGCGAGCAGGUGCGAAAGCAGGUCAUAGUGAUCCGGUGGUUCUGAAUGGAAGGGCCAUCGCUCAACGGAUAAAAGGUACUCCGGGGAUAACAGGCUGAUACCGCCCAAGAGUUCAUAUCGACGGCGGUGUUUGGCACCUCGAUGUCGGCUCAUCACAUCCUGGGGCUGAAGUAGGUCCCAAGGGUAUGGCUGUUCGCCAUUUAAAGUGGUACGCGAGCUGGGUUUAGAACGUCGUGAGACAGUUCGGUCCCUAUCUGCCGUGGGCGCUGGAGAACUGAGGGGGGCUGCUCCUAGUACGAGAGGACCGGAGUGGACGCAUCACUGGUGUUCGGGUUGUCAUGCCAAUGGCACUGCCCGGUAGCUAAAUGCGGAAGAGAUAAGUGCUGAAAGCAUCUAAGCACGAAACUUGCCCCGAGAUGAGUUCUCCCUGACUCCUUGAGAGUCCUGAAGGAACGUUGAAGACGACGACGUUGAUAGGCCGGGUGUGUAAGCGCAGCGAUGCGUUGAGCUAACCGGUACUAAUGAACCGUGAGGCUUAACCUUACAACGCCGAAGCUGUU